UACGUAGGAGGCGAGCGUUGUCCGGAUUCAUUGGGCGUAAAGAGCGCGCAGGCGGCUUGGUAAGUCGGAUGUGAAAUCCCGAGGCUCAACCUCGAGACGUCGGCGGAAACCAUCUGGCUAGAGUCCGGAAGAGGAGAGUGGAAUUCCUGGUGUAGCGGUGAAAUGCGCAGAUAUCAGGAAGAACACCCGUGGCGAAGGCGGCUCUCUGGGACGGUACUGACGCUGAGACGCGAAAGCGUGGGGAGCGAACAGG
rnacentral:rRNA from 1 species